CAGUAGCCACGGUAAUACAGAGGGUGCGAGCGUUAAUCGGAUUUACUGGGCGUAAAGCGUGCGUAGGCGGCUUCUUAAGUCGGCUGUGAAAUCCCAGAGCUCAACUUUGGACUUGCAUUCGAUACUGGCAAGCUAGAGUAUGGGAGAGGAUGGUAGAAUUCCAGGUGUAGCGGUGAAAUGCGUAGAGAUCUGGAGGAAUACCGACGGCGAAGGCAGUCAGCUGGCCUAAUACUGACGCUGAGGUACGAAAGCAUGGGGAGCAAACGGGAUUAGAUACCCGGGUAGUCCCUGUCUCUUAUAC
rnacentral:rRNA from 1 species